GUUUCCCAAGCCAGAUAGCUGCAGUAAAACCGUAAAGGACAUUAGGGAGCCCCAGAUGGUCUUAACAGAGGUUUGGAUAGCCGAUGGCAGAUGAACUUCAACUUGGCUAAGUUUAAGAUCUUCCCCAUGCCAAGAAGCAGCAUCCUCAACUACAUUAACGUUUUGAAAAACAGUCCUCAUCUGUAGUAUACUUACAUAUGACAGCAUUGCCUCCAUUUCUUCAUCACUUCUCACUGUAAUUCGAUCACCAUCCUCGUCCUCAUCUGUUGAAAGGAAACAUAGGGUAAAGAACUGAGACACAAAAGACACUUGCCCAAGUGAGUCUGGUUACGACCACGGACUCCAUAGACAGAUUGCAAGGACUGGAGGAACACUCACUAUGUGUGACCUUGGGGUUAAAGGAAACUGACAAAAUCACCAAUGUUGUCCUCUGCACAAUUCAAGAAUUCUCUCCAUGUCUACCUAAGGAAUGGUCAUGCAGCCUCUCUGAACAUAUCCAACAACAGACUCACUGCCUCAAGAGGGAACCUAUUCCAUGUUUGGCCAACUCAAUUAAAACAUUCUUGUCUUCUAGUUACUAGCAUAUUAUUUCUAGUUCUGUUUAAAGUGAGUAAGUCUAACUGAUCCUAGUACUUUCUGUUUAAUGUUUUACUUCAUUUAUUUCUACAUGUCAUUCCGUUUGACUUUAAAAUAGCAACAUUUCUUGAGGCGGCUGGAUGGCUUUUUUACGUAAUAAAAAAGGCUACCGUAGUAAAAAAAAUGGCUCAGUUCAUGAUCCCACAUUUUGUGGGUUUGAACCCUGCAACGGGCUCUGUGCUGACAGCUCAGAGACUGGAUCCUGCCUUGGAUUGGAUUCUGUGUCUCCCUAUCUUCUCUCUGACCCUCCCCUGUUUGUGUUCUCUCUCUCUCAAAGUAUAAAAGAGGGGCGCCUGAGUGGCUCAGCCGGUUAAGCGUCUGACUGGCUCAGGUCAUGAUCUCACAGUUUGGUUCGUGAGUUUGAGCCCCGCAUUGGGCUCUGGGCUGAUGGCUCAGAGCCUGGAGCCCACUUCAGAUUCUGUGCCUCCCUCUGUCUGUCCCUCUGCUGCUUGCACUCUGUCUCUCGCAUUGUCUCAAGAGUAAAUAAACAUUUAAAAAAAAGAAUAAAAGAAACAUUUUAAAAAAUUAAAUAAUAAAAUAAAAUAAAAUAGCAACAUUUCUGUAUGAGAAAACAGUAUGAAAUGCCUCAAAAGGAUAAUGCAACAAGAUUCCAGUCUUUUAUUUUUUCAGACUCCAUAAGUGUGUAAGUUAAUUCAUGACAUGUGAAGUAUUUCAAAACUUGUUGCUGUUCUUGCAAAUAAUCCAUAGGAUCUCCAGUUAAAGUAUCCUUUUCUGAAAACUCUUAAAGAUGAAGACAAGUUUUCUUUUUAAUUUUGAAUCAUCACACAUUCAUUCCACAA